rnacentral:tRNA from 1 species
GGGAUUUGGUAUAGUGGCAUUAUGCUCGCUUCGGGUGCGAGAGGUCCCGGGUUCGAUUCCCGGAAUC